rnacentral:rRNA from 1 species
ACUGAGACACGGUCCAGACUCCUACGGGAGGCAGCAGUGGGGAAUUUUGGACAAUGGGGGCAACCCUGAUCCAGCAAUGCCGCGUGAGUGAAGAAGGCCUUCGGGUUGUAAAGCUCUUUUGUCAGGGAAGAAACGGGCCGGGUUAAUACCCUGGUCUAAUGACGGUACCUGAAGAAUAAGCACCGGCUAACUACGUGCCAGCAGCCGCGGUAAUACGUAGGGUGCAAGCGUUAAUCGGAAUUACUGGGCGUAAAGCGUGCGCAGGCGGUUGUGCAAGACCGAUGUGAAAUCCCCGGGCUUAACCUGGGAAUGGCAUUGGUGACUGUACGGCUAGAGUGUGUCAGAGGGGGGUGGAAUUCCACGUGUAGCAGUGAAAUGCGUAGAGAUGUGGAGGAAUACCGAUGGCGAAGGCAGCCCCCUGGGAUAACACUGACGCUCAUGCACGAAAGCGUGGGGAGCAAACAGGAUUAGAUACCCUGGUAGUCCACGCCCUAAACGAUGUCUACUAGUUGUCGGGUCUUCAUUGACUUGGUAACGCAGCUAACGCGUGAAGUAGACCGCCUGGGGAGUACGGUCGCAAGAUUAAAACUCAAAGGAAU